UACGGAGGGUCCAAGCGUUGUCCGGAUUUAUUGGGUGUAAAGGGUGUGUAGGCGGGCUUGCAAGUCAGAGGUGAAAGCCUACGGCUCAACCGUAGAAUUGCCUCUGAUACUGCAAGUCUUGAGUCUUGGAGAGGUUGUCGGAAUUCGUGGUGUAGCGGUGAAAUGCGUAGAUAUCACGAGGAACACCGGUUACGUAGGUGGGCAACUGGACAAGUACUGACGCUGAGGCACGAAAGCGUGGGGAGCAAACAGGAUUAGAUACCCUGGUAGUCCACGCCGUAAACGAUGGACACUCGGUGUCGCCGACUCGUCGGCGGUGCCUAAGCGAACGCAUUAAGUGUCCCACCUGGGGAGUACGAUCGCAAGGUUGAAACUCAAAGGAAUUGACGGGGGCCCGCACAAGCGGUGGAGCAUGUGGCUUAAUUCGAUGCAACGCGAGGAACCUUACCUGGGCUCGAACGCUAUCGGCUUUCCUCCGAAAGGGGGUUUUCCUUUUAGGACCGAUAGUGAGGUGCUGCAUGGCUGUCGUCAGUUCGUGUCGUGAGAUGUUGGGUUAAGUCCCGCAACGAACGCAACCCCUAUCGUUAGUUACCAGCGGGUCAUGCCGGGGACUCUAGCGAGACUGCCUGCGCAAGCAGUGAGGAAGGUGGGGAUGACGUCAAGUCAUCAUGGCCCUUAUGCCCAGGGCUGCACACGUGCUACAAUGGACGGUACAACGGGCAGCCACUCCGCGAGGAGGAGCGAAUCCAUAAAGCCGUCCUCAGUUCGGAUCGGAGUCUGCAACUCGACUCCGUGAAGUCGGAAUCGCUAGUAAUCGCGUAUCAGCAACGACGCGGUGAAUACGUUCCCGGGCCU
rnacentral:rRNA from 1 species